rnacentral:rRNA from 1 species
CAGAGUUUGAUCAUGGCUCAGAGCGAACGCUGGCGGCAGGCUUAACACAUGCAAGUCGAGCGGGCGUAGCAAUACGUCAGCGGCAGACGGGUGAGUAACGCGUGGGAACGUACCUUUUGGUUCGGAACAACACAGGGAAACUUGUGCUAAUACCGGAUAAGCCCUUACGGGGAAAGAUUUAUCGCCGAAAGAUCGGCCCGCGUCUGAUUAGCUAGUUGGUGAGGUAAUGGCUCACCAAGGCGACGAUCAGUAGCUGGUCUGAGAGGAUGAUCAGCCACAUUGGGACUGAGACACGGCCCAAACUCCUACGGGAGGCAGCAGUGGGGAAUAUUGGACAAUGGGCGCAAGCCUGAUCCAGCCAUGCCGCGUGAGUGAUGAAGGCCCUAGGGUUGUAAAGCUCUUUCAACGGUGAAGAUAAUGACGGUAACCGUAGAAGAAGCCCCGGCUAACUUCGUGCCAGCAGCCGCGGUAAUA